rnacentral:lncRNA from 1 species
AGUGUAGGUGCAGGAGGGCCUGUGUGUCCUGAUGCCCUGUGCCUCUAACCUCCCCCAGAAUGUCCUGUCUGACGUUUUUCCAGCUCAGGGGUGCCGAGUCCACGUUUUUAAUUUGAAUGAUCCAGUGGCCACAAUGACCCUCCCCACAAAAUGUAGGAGGAGACCCAGAGCCCAUUUGCCUUCCUGGGGCACCCCCAAACCUAUAACUGCUCCCUGAGCAUCAGAGAUGCCUAGAUGGGGGAUACAGGGAGGUGCUACGUUCAGGUAAAGAGAGGACCUACUGUCAGAUGAUGUGACUGAAUUAACGGGCUGUCAGUGCAUGUCCCGGAACUUGGACACCCAAGGAUGGUGGUCUUUGUUUCCUGGGUCUGUGAGGGGGGUUCAGUCUCUACCUCCUCCUGAAUGGGGGCUUGCCUGGCCUCCCUGGGCCCCACAACUCCAAUGCUCAUCCUCAACCCAGAGCCUCCAGACCAUGGCACCAACCUCCCCUGACAGGUGAGCCUCCUCUGGGACUAGUGUGACCUCAGAGAGCCUUUAACUCAGCAUUUCCC